rnacentral:rRNA from 1 species
CCCUUAGAUGUCCUGGGCCGCACGCGCGCUACACUGAUGCAUGCAACGAGUUUAUAACCUUGGCCUGAAAGGUCUGGGUAAUCUUUUGAACGUGCAUCGUGAUAGGGAUAGAUUAUUGCAAUUGUUAAUCUUGAACGAGGAAUUCCUAGUAAACGCGAGUCAUCAGCUCGCAUUGAUUACGUCCCUGCCCUUUGUACACACCGCCCGUCGCACCUACCGAUUGAAUGGUUCGGUGAAGAUCUCGGGCUUCGAUAUUCAUUCUUUAUUGAGUUUAUAUUGUGGGAAGUUAUCUAAACCUCAUCAUUUAGAGGAAGGUGAAGUCGUAACA